AUUGCCGCGCUGGGACGAGCUUCAAUGGCACACCAGUUGUUGUUCGUGGCUGCGGUGAUCCUGUUGUUGUUUGUGGCCGUGGUGAGCAGCACCGUACCUCGGGUGGUUCCGGAGAUCUUUGUGUUCGGCGACUGCACUGCCGAUGUCGGGAACAACAACUACCUGCCGGGGACCAGUGCCAGAGCUGACUUCCCUCACAAUGGCGUCGACUUCCCCGGCGGUGAGCCGACGGGCAGGUUCAGCAACGGUUUCAUUGGCGCCGACUUCUUGGCUGUCCACAUGGGCUUCAGCGGGAGCCCGCCGCCAUACCUCUCUCUCGUCGUCGGCAGCGACGAAGCAUUGGGCAACACGAGGACGAAGAAGCCGGUGGCCGCUUCUGCCUCCAUGAGAGGAGCCAGCUUUGCCUCUGGAUGCUCCGGUGUUCUUGACUCCACGGGAGACACGAUCAACAUGACGAAGCAGAUCGAAUACUUCUCGGAUCUCAAAGACCAGAUGCUGUCAGCCAGAUUGGGUGCCUUCGGAGCAUCGGCCUUCCUCUCCAAGUCCAUCUUCCUCAUCAGCGCGGGCUCGAACGACAACAUCGACUUCUUCUCGCAAGACACAUCGCCGGACUCCACCGCACUCCAGCAGUUCAGGGAAGCCGUGGUCUCGACAUACGAUAGCCAUGUCAUAACGCUGUACAACCUUGGGGCGAGGAAGUUCGCGGUGAUCGACGUGGCGCCCCUCGGGUGCUGCCCGUACUGGAGGAGCCGGAACCCGUCCGGGGAGUGCGUCGAGCCGCUGAACCGGCUAGCGAAGAGCCUCAACGAUGGGAUCCGGGACCUGUUCGCCGGCCUCGUCCGCGAGAUGCAGGGCAUGGAGUACGCCAUUGGCAGCACCUACGAGCUCGUCUCCCGCAUCGUCCAAGACCCGCAGUCUGCAGGAUUGACGGAGUUGAAGAGCGCGUGCUCUGGACGUGGCGGCAGGUUCAACGCCGACGGAGGGUGCACCCCCAGCGCCGGCUACUGCAGCGACCGUGGCAAGUUCCUCUUCUGGGACUUCCUGCACCCUACCCAGGCCACCUCCAGGCUCGCCGGCCGAGCGUUCUACGACGGGCCGGCACGGUUCGUCGGCCCGAUCACCUUCAGGGAACUGGCCGAGACGUAG
rnacentral:rRNA from 1 species